CAUCAGCUGUUUUUCACUUGCAUUAAGGGUGAGCUGCUGUGAGCAGGGCUUACCUAACCUGCCCUCAGACACACUUCACGCCAGCCAUACUCAGCUCCUCCCACUCAAAUCCUCCCUAAGGAUUUGUUUUAACGACACAAACUAACAAUUAGGUCAUAAACUGCAAUUUAUGUCUCCUUCCUCAGGUAUUUUUGCCUCCUGGGGAUCCUUCUUGAAAGCCCCUCAGCAUCCUCUCCUAACUGUCCCUUAAAACCAAGGAAAAGAUGGACUUCAACUGUAACUCAGAAAAUUUCUUUAACUGUAACUCUAAAAUUUCUUUUUAAUUUCUUUUUUCUAUUUUUCUUUAAUUUCUUAAGUUAAUUUCCAUCGAACAAUUGGAUUUUCAACAAAGCUAAAUUUUUCAGAGUUAGUGCUUGUCACCCCAAAGUCAAUUCUCUGUAGAAGAAAAUGGUGCAAUUUUGUUUUCUGUCAAUGAACCAGGUGCCAGUCAAACUUUUACUUUUCCAUUAAAAAGCUGGAAAGGGUUGCAGAUGGUACAGGAAUAGAUGGGACCUAGGAAUACAAACUUGCAGUAUUACAUAUAAAAGCUCUUCAUUCUACCUUGUCUAGUUUAACAAUAUAGUCUCAUCAGAUAAUUGACUAGCAGAAAAUAAUAAAUAACUUUAUAUUUUAGCUGUCAGCAGGGCACCUAAUGGUGUCCAUAUCAAGCAGAGAAUGUUUAACUCUUGACUCAGGUCUGAUACCAGAUCACUUUGUCUAGCAUGAAAGAGGGAAGGGAAAACAGCAUUUCUUACUUUUUGGCCUGUCAUUUUAUCAAUUCACAUCAAAACAACACUGUAGAUUAAAAUAAAGGCAUACCUUUUAAAAUUCAAUACUUUUUAAAUCCAACCUAUAGUGUAGGAAAAGGAAAUAAAGUAACCGAAAAGAAGUCCUGCUUCAAGGCACUGUCAAAGAAGAGACAUGACAAUUCUUCUGUGACAAAUCCAAAAGGUCUUGAAGUCACAAGCAAAAAUCUUGUUCAAUUCACAGUUGCAGGGCUUCACACAAAGCACCCCAGGGAGAAACCCAUGAAGUGUGCUCACACCACUGCCAAUAGGAGGACUACCAGCAUCCCAAGGAAUGGUGUCUUCAAGGUACAGCUCAAGGGAUUUCUUACUUCUUGGUGCAAGGCACGGAGACAACGGGAGCUGUACUCAGCAGCUUUGAGCCUGCUGCCUUAAACACAGGGAGUGGAACAACCUGAAGCAAAGACACGCCUUUUUUGUAAUGUGUUAGUCUGUGUCAUAACUAAAACGGAACUAUGUUCUUCUUUCCACUGUGGAGGUAACUGGAGAGCCCUGUACUUUCCAGUGCUGCCUGCAUGGGUCUCAAAACCAAGAAAGAAACUAACAUGUUGUUACUAGCUUUAUAUAGAUAAAAUCCUUCCCUUAGUUCAGGUAGCUGCAUAAUUUUCAGAGGAAUAUCCUCUUCCUCUGUAUCUCCUGCAGGCCAGAUUCAGACUGUUCUCAGAACUUACUUCGCCUUAGCCAAAAUUAAAUUAUAGUACUAAGC